AGACAGCAGUAGCCGCGGGAACACCGAGGGUGCAAGCGUUAAUCGGAAUUACUGGGCGUAAAGCGCGCGUAGGUGGUUCGCCAAGUUGGAUGUGAAAUCCCCGGGCUCAACCUGGGAACUGCAUCCAAAACUGGCGAGCUAGAGUAUGGUAGAGGGUGGUGGAAUUUCCUGUGUAGCGGUGAAAUGCGUAGAUAUAGGAAGGAACAUCAGUGGCGAAGGCGACCACCUGGACUGAUACUGACACUGAGGUGCGAAAGCGUGGGGAGCAAACAGGAUUAGAUACCCCGGUAGUCCCUGUCUCUUAUAC
rnacentral:rRNA from 1 species